rnacentral:rRNA from 1 species
GGAAUCUUGCGCAAUGGCCGAAAGGCUGACGCAGCGACGCCGCGUGCGGGAGGACGCUUUUCGGAGUGUAAACCGCUGUCGGGAGGGAGGAACGGCCCGGGGAGGCAAUGCCGCGGGUUUGACAGUACCUCCAGCGGAAGCACCGGCUAACUCCGUGCCAGCAGCCGCGGUAAUACGGAGGGUGCAAGCGUUGUUCGGAAUUAUUGGGCGUAAAGCGCACGUAGGCGGCUCUUUAAGUCUCACUGUGAAAGCCUGCGGCUCAACCGCAGGAGGCCAGGGGAUACUGGAGGGCUGGAGAUAGGUAGAGGCGAGCGGAAUUCCGGGUGUAGCGGUGGAAUGCGUAGAGAUCCGGAAGAACACCAGAGGCGAAGGCGGCUCGCUGGACCUCAUCUGACGCUGAGGUGCGAAAGCGUGGGGA